rnacentral:rRNA from 1 species
UACGUAGGGCGCAAGCGUUGUCCGGAAUUAUUGGGCGUAAAGAGCUCGUAGGCGGUCUGUUGCGUCCGCUGUGAAAACCCAGGGCUUAACCCUGGGCUGGCAGUGGAUACGGGCAGACUAGAGGUAGGUAGGGGGGAAUGGAAUUCCCGGUGUAGCGGUGAAAUGCGCAGAUAUCGGGAGGAACACCGGUGGCGAAGGCGGUUCUCUGGGCCUUACCUGACGCUGAGGAGCGAAAGCGUGGGGAGCGAACAGG